GACGAACGCUGGCGGCGUGCUUAACACAUGCAAGUCGAGCGGGGAGUUACCUUUCGGGGUAACUUCUAGCGGCGGACGGGUGAGUAACGCGUGAGCAACCUUUCUCUCAGUGGGGAAUAACACAGGGAAACUUGUACUAAUACCGCAUGAGACCACAGCAUCGCAUGGUGCAGGGGUCAAAGAUUUAUCGCUGAGAGGUGGGCUCGCGUCCGAUUAGGUAGUUGGUGAGGUAACGGCCCACCAAGCCGACGAUCGGUAGCCGACCUGAGAGGGUGAUCGGCCACAUUGGGACUGAGACACGGCCCAA
rnacentral:rRNA from 1 species